rnacentral:rRNA from 1 species
GCGUUGUCCGGAAUUAUUGGGCGUAAAGGGCUCGUAGGCGGUCCAUCGCGUCGGGAGUGAAAAGCUGGGGCUCAACCCCAGUCCUGCUUCCGAUACGGGUGGACUAGAGGUAGGUAGGGGAGAUCGGAAUUCCUGGUGUAGCGGUGAAAUGCGCAGAUAUCAGGAGGAACACCGGUGGCGAAGGCAGCUUUCUGGUCUAUUCCUGACGCUGAGGUGCGAAGGCUAG